rnacentral:rRNA from 1 species
GACGAACGCUGGCGGCGUGCCUAAUACAUGCAAGUAGAACGCAGUUGCGAACGGGUGCGUAAAGCGUAGGUAACUUCCUCAUAGCGGGGGAUAACUAAUGGAAACGAUAGCUAAUACCGCAUAAUUUGAGAUGGACCUCCGUUGUAUUAGAUAGUUGGUGAGGUAAAGGCUCACAAAGGAGACGAUAACUAGCCGACCUGAGAGGGUGAUCGGCCACAAUGGGACUGAGACACGGCCCAGACUCCGACGGAAGGCAGCAGGAGGGAAUCUUCGGCAAUGGACGGAAGUCUGACCGAGCAACGCCGCGUGAGUGAAGAAGGGUUUCGGAUCGUAAAGCUCUGGUGUUAGAGAAGCGGGAACUAACCAGAAAGGGACGGCUAACUACGUGCCAGCAGCCGCGGUAAUUC